UUUACCUGUAUCUUGCAUUUUCUAUUCUAUUAACGGAGAAACUACUCGUUACCUUAAAACUUUAAGAUAUUGAGGUAGAUACAAGAAUCGUAUGGAACUUCUUAAUGAAAAUGACUUUCGUAAUGUUUCCAACGGUUAGGAAAUACGUACCGUUCGUUCAUUGCAAAUCCGCGAGAUGACCUCGAAAGUGAUUUGCAGGCUUUGGAAGAGGCGAUUGCAAAAUCGGAAUGUCUGAUAGUAAUACAGGUUUCCAUGAAAUUUGAUAUACGCAGCGCAAGACAUCGUGGAUGAGCAACAUUUGACAGCUUAUAGACUUUAUUAUUGGAUUUCCUAUAAAAUUUUACAUUCAAUCUCAACAAUUGAAAAUGCAAACAAUUUAAUACGAUUCCUUUCAAUAUAUUAAUUCAUUUCGA